rnacentral:rRNA from 1 species
CACGUAGUUAGCCGGCGCUUUUUCUGCAGGUACCGUCACUUUCGCUUCUUCCCUGCUAAAAGAGGUUUACAACCCGAAGGCUGUCAUCCCUCACGCGGCGUUGCUGCAUCAGGCUUCCGCCCAUUGUGCAAUAUUCCCCACUGCUGCCUCCCGUAGGAGUCUGGGCCGUGUCUCAGUCCCAGUGUGGCCGGUCACCCUCUCAGGCCGGCUACCCGUCGACGCCUUGGUGAGCCAUUACCUCACCAACAAGCUGAUAGGCCGCGAGCCCAUCCCAGACCGAAAAAUCUUUCCAAACACGACCAUGCGAUCACGUCUCAUAUCCAGUAUUAGACGCCGUUUCCCAGCGCUUAUCCCAGAGUCCAGGGCAGGUUGCUCACGUGUUACCUCACCCGUUCGCCACUGAUCCACCAAGCAAGCUUGGCUUCACCGUUCGACUUGCAUGUGUUAAAGCACGCCGCCAGCGUUCAUCCUCGAGCACGGAGUCAAACUAC